rnacentral:tRNA from 1 species
GGAAAUAUGGCUGAGUUGGCUUAAGGCAUUAACUUGCUAAGUUAAAGUAUGAAUUUACCGUGGGUUCGAAUCCCACUAUUUCCA